ACUCCCUCUUUCCCUUUCUCCUCCAGCCCCUGACAUCCACCAUUCUACUUUCUGCCUCUAUGAUUUAGACUACAGGUAUCUCGCAUAAGUGGAAUCAUACAAUGUUUGCCUUUUGGGGCUGGUUUAUUUCGCUCAGCAUGAUGCUUUCAUGGUUCAUCCAGGUUGUACUAUUGUGCGUUAAUGCUGGUGUGAACAGGAGUGUACAAUGGAAAGAACCUGCUUCCAAUUAUGUCAAAUAGAUACCCUGAAGUGGAAUUGCUGGUUUGCAUGGUGAAGACCUCCCUCCUGUGACCUCAGCCCUCCUCCUUCCCUGUGCUUCUCCACACCGCCUGCCUUCGCACACAGGAAUCCAGAUUUUUCUGUCUCGACUUCUCUGACAGAAGAUUGCAGUGUCUCCUGGCACACCAGGGGGAAUGUGGCAGAACAGGAGGGGUGAACUUCAGUACUGUAACCAGGCUGGUACUCUAACACCAGCUUUGCACCUUGGUGGCAGCAUGAGCACUUUAGUUAGAGUCCCAAGUUAGACUCUAGUUAGAUGUCUCAACCAUCCCCCCCUCUCUCUGUCACAUGGUGGCUGUCUUUAUUGAAGGGUGAAGGGAAAUUCUCCUAAGAAAUAUAAAGCUCUUCUGGGGUCACCUUCUAAAAACCAUCCAGAAGUGGAUGAGCCUAUCCUUGGGACUUCUUCCUUCACUCAGUUGGCUCCUGCUCCUUCAAGAACUUUUGGGGACAGGAUGAAAGAACUCAAGGCUCCGGGCUUACCCACCACAACUUUGUAACUUUUUUUUUGCCAUAAUGGUCUCCUUAUGCCUCCACUAUGAAAUGACCGGGACUCUCAUGUUUUUUUCUCCUCUCAUUCCUCCUUUUUUCUCUUCAGUAUAAUCUCUCUUUAUUGAGAACUUACUGUAUGCUAGGAACUAUGCUGUAUACCCAUACUACAUCUCAUUUAAUUCUUACAUAUCCCUGUGAAAGAGGUAGUCAUACGAAUACCAUUUUAUAUGUGAGAAAACCAAGGCAUAGAAUAGUUAAAUAAAUUGUCCAGGAUCUUCUAGUUAAAAACUGGCAGAGUCAAGAUUCAGUCUCAGGUCUUUUUGAUGCCCAAACAUAUAUACUUUACCUUUAAAAGUGUGGCUCAUGGAUGCCUGGAGUUUCCUAGGUCCUUUACAGGGUUCUGUGAGAUCAAAACCAUUUUCAUGAUGCUGUUUGCCUUUUUCACUGUGUUGACAUUUACACUGAAGGCACAGCAUCAACGAUGGGUAAAA